rnacentral:misc_RNA from 1 species
UUCAUAGAGGUCUCUUGGCAUAAAGCGAUUGUCUGGCGUUCCGAUACUUCAACAGGACUAUACUCCUAUAUCUUACUUUUAAUCUCACAAAGUAUCGUGUACGCUGUCACACUGAUCCUGUUCAUAGAUUUCUUUCAUCAAACACAUAAGCAGAUGGAGCGAACACGGCAAAUAGUGAUCACUCUUAAAUAUCACAGAUGUGAUGAGGAAAAAGUAAAUAAUGAGCUGGAGACGUUCAACCGUAUGUUGUUGCUGAACAAGACCACGUAUUCACCGCUCAAUAUGUUCACAUUGUCGAGAUCUCUGGUUGGCAAGAUCUUCAGCGGCAUCGUGACGUACCUUGUUACUAUAUUGACUUAUUCAAAUGAAUCUAAUGUCGACAUUAACUCGUUCUUGUGAACAUUAUAUGCACACCGUUUUUCGUUGUUUUUGAUUGUAAUAAAAUGAUUUGAAAAGCGUUAACUUUUUGUCACCUCUGUAUGUUAGGGAUGCUUUACUUAUGACAAUAAAAGGCUCUUUUUGG